rnacentral:rRNA from 1 species
GACGAACGCUGGCGGCGUGCUUAACACAUGCAAGUCGAACGGACAGGCCCUGCUUUUGUGGGGUGCUCGAGUGGCGAACGGGUGAGUAACACGUGAGUAACCUGCCCUUGACUUUGGGAUAACUUCAGGAAACUGGGGCUAAUACCGGAUAGGAGCUCCUGCUGCAUGGUGGGGGUUGGAAAGUUUCGGCGGUUGGGGAUGGACUCGCGGCUUAUCAGCUUGUCGGUGAGGUAGUGGCUUACCAAGGCUUUGACGGGUAGCCGGCCUGAGAGGGUGACCGGCCACAUUGGGACUGAGAUACGGCCCAGACUCCUACGGGAGGCAGCAGUGGAGAAUAUUGCACAAUGGGCGGAAGCCAGAUGCAGCAACGCCGCGUGCGGGAUGACGGCCUUCGGGUUGUAAACCGAUUUCGCCUGUGACGAAGCGUGAGUGACGGUAAUGGGUAAAGAAGCACCGGCUAACUACGUG